AGGUUGGCUUUUACCGAGCUGUAGGCUGAGGCCGAACUCUUUGGUAAUGCCGAACUCAUACUCUUCCUUGGGCUUUGGGCUGAUGGGCCGUCAUUGCUGUUGGGCUUGUUUAGUACGCACCCCAUCAGCCCCGAAAUCUCCGAUGUCAUACAUUCUCAGAGCAGUAAACUUGGUUCUUUCUCCCAUGGAUUUACUUACUCCGGACAUCCCGUAGCAUGUGCUGUUGCAUUGGAAACACUCAAGAUCUAUAAGGAGAGAAAUAUAGUUGAGCAAGUAAACAAAAUAGCCCCUAGAUUUCAAGAAGGUGUGAAAGCGUUUUCGGAUAGUCCCAUUAUUGGUGAGAUACGUGGGACGGGACUGAUUCUUGGGGUGGAAUUCACGGAUAACAAAUCACCCAACGAUCCUUUUCCUGCCGAGUGGGGUGUCGCGGCUUAUUUUUCAGCACAGUGUGAGAAACGGGGAAUGUUAAUACGUGUUGCUGGAGACAAUAUCAUGAUGUCUCCUCCAUAUAUCAUCACGCCUCAAGAAGUUGACAAGCUGGUAGAGAUAUUUGGGGAAGCUCUCAAAGCGACAGAAGAAAGGGUGGAAGAGCUGAAAUCUCAGAGGAAAUAACUAGUUGAUGGUUGAAAUGAAAUGUUGAUAAUGGUGAAAGCUUUGAAAAUUGAAUAUGGUGUUUGGAAAUAAUAAGCAGAUUUAUGUGAUGCUAUGGAAUUUCAGUUAGUCCUUUAAUUGCUAAUUUUUGAGCUUCUACUAAUUAUGUGAAAUAUAAAUAAAUGAGUUGUGCUUAAUUUUGUUA